rnacentral:rRNA from 1 species
GAUGAACGCUAGCGGCAGGCUUAAUACAUGCAAGUCGUGGGGCAGCAGGGGUAGCAAUACCCGCUGGCGACCGGCAAACGGGUGCGGAACACGUACGCAACCUUCCUUUAACUGGAGAAUAGCCCCUCGAAAGAGGGAUUAAUACUCCGUAACAUGUACAUGUGGCAUCACAAGUACAUUAUAGCUCCGGCGGUUAAAGAUGGGCGUGCGCCUGAUUAGAUAGUUGGCGGGGUAACGGCCCACCAAGUCUGCGAUCAGUAACUGGUGUGAGAGCACGACCAGUCACACGGGCACUGAGACACGGGCCCGACUCCGUACGGGAGCAGCAGUAAGGAAUAUUGGUCAAUGGACGCAAGUCUGAAACCAGCCAUGCCGCGUGGAGGAUUAA